rnacentral:rRNA from 1 species
CAGCCGCCGCGGGAAAACAGAGGGUGCAAGCGUUAAUCGGAAUUACUGGGCGUAAAGCGCGCGUAGGUGGUUUGUUAAGUUGGAUGUGAAAUCCCCGGGCUCAACCUGGGAACUGCAUCCAAAACUGGCAAGCUAGAGUAUGGUAGAGGGUGGUGGAAUUUCCUGUGUAGCGGUGAAAUGCGUAGAUAUAGGAAGGAACACCAGUGGCGAAGGCGACCACCUGGACUGAUACUGACACUGAGGUGCGAAAGCGUGGGGAGCAAACAGGAUUAGAUACCCCAGUAGUCCCUGUCUCUUAUAU